rnacentral:tRNA from 1 species
GAUUGUGGCUCAGUGGUAGAAUGCUCGCCUCGCACGUGAGAGAUCCUGGGUUCCAUCCUCAGCAACA